CCACAUAGCAAAAAUAAUUUUUUAAAUGUGGUUACAAUGUUAAGUAAAGAAUUUAAGUUGUAUCAGAGUCAAAAACUCCCUUCUCUUUGAAAAUAUGAACAAAACCCUCAUCAUUACUGUGAUAAUUGUUAUGUAAGUCAUUUUCUCAGUGAGUAACUAUUGGCAUUCUGGGUGAGACAGUUGUGCCAGACUCUUGAAUUUUAGGAUAUUUUGGCAGCUGCAACACCUAAAGCCAGUAGCAUCCUUCUCCCAACCAAAAGUACCCUUCACAUUUCUUGCCCCUUACAGGGUCUGGUACCAUUCCUGGUAUGAAUUUCCUUUCUGAGAAACCUUCAAUAUAAAGCUGCUAACUAGAACUUAUAAAUAUAUUUUUUACUAGUUUAUUUAUCUUUCAUGAUUAAAAAAAAAAAUAGCCAAUUUAUAGACCUGUUGUUUUUAUACCAGUUAAAUUUAGGAUGUUGCAGUGAUUGUUUUUCCCGUUGUUUGGACCAGGAAGGAAAUUAUCUUAAUAUUUUUUAUCUGACAAGGAUGCUUUAACUGUCAGACGUCCCUGCACCUGUCAGUGAGCCAGUGGUCUGGUUAGUGUUCCUCCUGCCUGAGCAGAGACUCUCAUUCUGCAUGGUCUCACGGCUCUUUCUUCUGAAUGUCCCCUCUGCCUC
rnacentral:lncRNA from 1 species